CGGGUGAGUAACGCGUGGGUAACCUGCCUUGUACUGGGGGACGAACAGUUGGAAACGACUGCUAAUACCGCAUAAGCGCACAGCUUCGCAUGAAGCAGUGCGAAAAACUCCGGUGGUACAAGAUGGACCCGCGUCUGAUUAGCUGGUUGGUGAGGUAACGGCCCACCAAGGCGACGAUCAGUAGCCGGCCUGAGAGGGUGAACGGCCACAUUGGGACUGAGACGCGGCCCAA
rnacentral:rRNA from 1 species